UGAGGCAAGUGUUGGGUCAGCUGUGGGAGCACAGGUGAAGGCAAUUCAACUGUGCUCCUGGAAGGGGUGUAGCUUGACUCUACCUCUCCCAUGUCCCAUUUAAGGGCUGACCAGCACUAAGGCAGCAUUACUUUCUGGAGAUUGCUCCUUUGUGGAAUUCUGGUGGCAAGCCUCAACAUUGUCCAUUUUGACUGAAGACUUCAGAGUUGCCACAGACCCUGCAGCACAGCUUGGUCCCUUGAGGAGCACAGAGAGGCACACCUGGAAGCCAUCCUGCUGUAGUUAGCAUUGAUGUUAAAUGACUCCGUGCCAAUCAUGCUACUGUAGCAAUGCUAAAUAAAUUUGAUGUUGAGCACUUA